rnacentral:rRNA from 1 species
UACGUAGGGUGCAGGCGUUAAUCGGAAUUACUGGGCGUAAAGCGUGCGCAGGCGGCUUUGUAAGUCAGAGGUGAAAUCCCGGGGCUCAACUCCGGAACUGCCUUUGAGACUGCAUCGCUUGAAUCCAGGAGAGGUGAGUGGAAUUCCGAGUGUAGAGGUGAAAUUCGUAGAUAUUCGGAAGAACACCAGUGGCGAAGGCGGCUCACUGGACUGGUAUUGACGCUGAGGUGCGAAAGCGUGGGGAGCAAACAGG